rnacentral:rRNA from 1 species
CACGUAGGUGGUUGAGUAAGUCAGAUGUGAAAGCCCCGGGCUCAACCAGGGAACUGCAUUUGAAACUGCUUGGCUAGAGUCCGGUAGAGGGGGUGGAAUUCCAGGUGUAGCGGUGAAAUGCGUAGAUAUCUGGAGGAACAUCAGUGGCGAAGGCGGCCCCCUGGAUCGAGACUGACGCUGAGGUGCGAAAGCGUGGGGAGCAAACA